rnacentral:misc_RNA from 1 species
AAAAAAACCACAAGGAAUGCAGUAAUAGGAAAUCUCAUCCAGAUACUGUCAUCUCAUACGUUGUCAUUGUUCAUUCAGCACUAUAUGUAAUAUAAUGUCAUUGAUGUUGAUGUACAUGUAAACCAUACACUCCCCUGUUAUAUCCAACUUUGAAAUUUAAGAUACAUUUUACGUGAUCAUGAAAAUAGAGACAUUUCAGGCUGAACAAUUUUGGAUUCAAGAUGUCCUCGACGUCAGAUUCCAAAUGCUGCAUGCUUUCUGACUUUAAAAGCAAUUGCUUCAGAUUUUCUUUCAUACAAGAUGAAAAAGAAAAACAUAAUUGCAAAUAAUGGAUCUCUAGUAUUUUAAAAAAUUUAGUAUGAUAUGGUUACAUUGUUGGUGCUUUAUGUAAAUUUUGUUGUCUGUAUAUGUAUAAUAAAGAUACAGCCUGAU